UGAUAUUGCUCGGUAGAGCGACGGUCCG
rnacentral:sRNA from 1 species